rnacentral:rRNA from 1 species
GGACGAACGCUGGCGGCGUGCCUAAUACAUGCAAGUUGAACGUCAACAAAGACACCAGAGCUUGCUCUACCGUCUUUGUUGAGUAGCGAACGGGUGAGUAACGCGUGGGUAACCUGCCUUAUAGCGGGGGAUAACUAUUGGAAACGAUAGCUAAUACCGCAUAACAAUAGAGAUUGCAUAAUCUUUAUUUGAAAGUGCCAACUGGUACACUAUGAGAUGGACCCGCGUUGUAUUAGCUAGUUGGUAGUGUAAUGGACUACCAAGGCGAUGAUACAUAGCCGACCUGAGAGGGUGAUCGGCCACAUUGGGACUGAGACACGGCCCAAACUCCUACGGGAGGCAGCAGUAGGGAAUCUUCGGCAAUGGACGAAAGUCUGACCGAGCAACGCCGCGUGAGUGAAGAAGGUUUCGGAUCGUAAAACUCUGUUGUUAGAGAAGAAUGUUGAUUAGAGUGGAAAAUUAAUCAAGUGACGGUAUCUAACCAGAAAGGGACGGCUAACUACGUG